rnacentral:lncRNA from 1 species
GCCCGGCCAGUCCCAGCGCCUGUGAGGAGCCCAGAGGGGUCAGCCGACCAGCAGAGUGAACCCUGAGCCCCUCCGACCUGCCCCACAUCUCUGCAGGGCUAGCCCAGAGGUUGGCGGCGGAAGGCCCACAGCUCCCCUGGCUCCAUGGGCAAUGACCGAACAGCCCUUCACCUCUCUGGGCCUUGUUUUCUCAAACUGAAACUGGAGAGGAUGACCCCAGCCUGGGACCUUCGAGGGCCUCAAAAGGGCUCUGGGCCUUGCGUGGCUGGACGAUGAAUGUGAUGGCUGGAACUCAAGCAGCCACAGUGGAUCAUAAGGGACGGUGUCUUGCUAUGUUGUCCAAGCUGGUCUCAAACUGGCCUGAAUCAAUGCUUCCACCUCAGCUGCCAGAGGAACCGGGAUUACAGGCCUGAGCCACUGCAGCCAGCCAGUUUGUUAUUUUAAUGUAAAUUCUUAGUAAACAACUCAGGAGCUCUCUUGUCCUUUUAAAAUCCAUUUCAACUUCUGCUAAUCGGAGUGUAUAUUCAGGGCAACUUGAAUCUGUGCUCCUGGGAUGCAAUCCUCAAGCUUGGCCCAAAUAAAGUCUCCGCUGAUAUUAA